rnacentral:rRNA from 1 species
AUUGAACGCUGGCGGCAUGCUUUACACAUGCAAGUCGAACGGUAACAGGCCGCAAGGUGCUGACGAGUGGCGAACGGGUGAGUAAUGCAUCGGAACGUGCCCAGUCGUGGGGGAUAACGCAGCGAAAGCUGUGCUAAUACCGCAUACGAUCUAUGGAUGAAAGCGGGGGACCGGAAGGCCUCGCGCGAUUGGAGCGGCCGAUGUCAGAUUAGCUAGUUGGUGGGGUAAAGGCCCACCAAGGCGACGAUCUGUAGCUGGUCUGAGAGGACGACCAGCCACACUGGGACUGAGACACGGCCCAGACUCCUACGGGAGGCAGCAGUGGGGAAUUUUGGACAAUGGGGGCAAGCCUGAUCCAGCAAUGCCGCGUGCAGGAAGAAGGCCUUCGGGUUGUAAACUGCUUUUGUACGGAACGAAACGGUCUGGGUUAAUACCCUGGGCUAAUGACGGUACCGUAAGAAUAAGCACCGGCUAACUACGUGCCAGCCGCCGCGGUAACAC